rnacentral:misc_RNA from 1 species
UCUGGGAUCUACUCUCAAAACCUCAAAAACCUCAUGGAGUCUUUAGUUUCUCAAUCGUCACAGAAAAGUUUCUCCACAACAACUUCCGGGGAUGGCCAAAAUGCCAUAGUUGGGCUAUACCAAUGCAGAGGCGAUCUCACAACACCACAGUGCUACACAUGUGUCAGCAAAAUCCCAGACAUGGUUAAAAAACUCUGUGG